GUCAGAGUCGGCGUAAGGGUGGUUAAGAAUAAGCCUAAAAUUAAAGCCGAACAUCUUCCGGGCUGUUAUACGCAUCCGAAGAUAAGAAGCCCAACUACGAAAGUAGCUUUAUGUCUUCUGAACCCACGAAAGCUAGGAUA
rnacentral:rRNA from 1 species